rnacentral:rRNA from 1 species
UACGGAGGAUGCAAGCGUUAUCCGGAAUGAUUGGGCGUAAAGCGUCCGCAGGUGGCUGUGUAAGUCUGCUGUUAAAGAGUGAGGCUCAACCUCAUAAAAGCAGUGGAAACUACACAGCUAGAGUGCGUUCGGGGCAGAGGGAAUUCCUGGUGUAGCGGUGAAAUGCGUAGAGCUCGGGAAGAACAUCGGUGGCGAAAGCGCUCUGCUGGACUGCAACUGACACUCAGGGACGAAAGCUAGGGGGAGCGAAUGGG